AUUUAUUGUCAUUCAUACUUGAAGGCACCGGGAGGGGAAGAAAAUAUUAAUCAGGCAAAAAAACGUAAAAGAGACAUUACUUCUAUGAGACUCUAGCAUUCGUAGGAACACUCUCUGGUUCACAAGGAUUGACCGAACACCUCGAUAUGUGGCUCUCCAUCUGAGGCUUGCUCCAAAUGGCCCUCCACUAUUCCAGGCACGUGGGUGUCUCCCCUAACUCUCCCUGCUCUCCUGAGCCCAUGCUGCCUAUCACCAAUCAGUGCAGGUCCUUUCUGAAGAGCUCGGGUGCAUUCUCUCCAUCCCACCUCUUUUCCCAAGAAAGAAGCCACCUGUUCCAAGACACGAAGUGGGACAUUCCCCUUCCACCUCCUUCUCCAAAGUUCCCCAGGUGAUCAUCACAGGGUAGGGAGACAAGUUCCCAGAUUUCAGUUACAAGACAUAGGACGCUGGCAUGAACACACACACACACACACACACACACACACACACACACACCUCGAAGAGGUAGCCACAAGGGUCAUUAAACACAUGACGACUGAUUUCCAAAAACGUGGAUGCAGUUCAUCCUUGCCAAAGCCGAGGGUGCAAACGCGGAAUGGCGGAGAGAUUCCAGAGGCUCACCAAAACCUGCCAGGAAUAUUUUCCUGACCCUGGGGGCAGAGGUUGGAAAUAUUGAGGACAUUUCUUGGGACACACGAAGAAGCUGAGGGACCAGGCAUUUUCCUUUCCACUACGAAUGACCUACACCGAGGGCAUUUCACUUUCCCCUGGAAAUCCCCUAUGGUGAGGUACCGCCCCAAGCCCCCACCCCCACUUCCGCGAAUCCACGUGGCUCAGUCUCUACACGGGUGUCACUCCAGGUAGGCUUCUCAACGCUCUCGGCUCAAAGGACAAUCCCACAUCCAAACGCAAAGCCCACACCUCAUCCCUUCCCAGAAAACGCGCAAAAAUUCAAUGGGAGAGAGGUCCCGAGUCAUCAAAGUCCCAGAUGUGGUGAGCCCCCGGAAGGAAAAACGGUGUCGUCCUUAGGAUGUCCGGAACAAGAGCUAGGCUUCCGGAGCUAGGCAGCCAUCUAUCUCCGUGAGCCAGCGGGAGGGAGACCGCCGGGAGGCGAAGUGGGGCGGGGCCAUCCUUCUUUCUGCUCUGCUGCUGCCGGGGAGCUCCUGGCUGGCGUCCAAGCGGCAGGAGGCCGCCGUCCUGCAGGGCGCCGUAGAGUUUGCGGUGCAGAGUCGGGAUCGCCUCUGGGGCAGAGGGUUCGAGCUUUUCCAAGGCGAGGGUGCUGGCUCCCGUGCGCACCUAAGGCCCCCCAGGAGCGGGCGCAAAGGGCGGCGGGCCCGCGGGCCAGGGCCCCGCAGCCAGCAGGCUGUCGAGCGUGGCCAGCGCCCAGUGCAGGGCGGCCCCGGCGUGCGCCAGCUGCCAGGUGGAUUCAGAAGUCUGGAUGGAAUCUACUGGACACUCUGCACAUGAUCCCCAAGGUUGAAAUCAAGGCUGCAGCUAUUUGGGCUCCUGUCUGGAGAUUCUGGGGGAAAAUCAACUUUGAAGUUCAU
rnacentral:lncRNA from 1 species